GCAUGUUCAGUGAAAUCGAGUAGGGCGGGACACGUGUUAUCCUGUCUGAAUAUGGGGGGACCAUCCUCCAAGGCUAAAUACUCCUGACUGACCGAUAGUGAACCAGUACCGUGAGGGAAAGGCGAAAAGAACCCCUGUGAGGGGAGUGAAAUAGAACCUGAAACCGUGUACGUACAAGCAGUAGGAGCACCUUCGUGGUGUGACUGCGUACCUUUUGUAUAAUGGGUCAGCGACUUAUAUUCAGUGGCAAGGUUAACCAUCUAGGGGAGCCGUAGGGAAACCGAGUCUUAACUGGGCGCCAUAGUCUCUGGAUAUAGACCCGAAACCGAGUGAUCUAGCCAUGGGCAGGUUGAAGGUUGAGUAACAUCAACUGGAGGACCGAACCGACUAAUGUUGAAAAAUUAGCGGAUGACUUGUGGCUAGGGGUGAAAGGCCAAUCAAACUCGGAGAUAGCUGGUUCUCCCCGAAAGCUAUUUAGGUAGCGCCUCGGACGAAUACUACUGGGGGUAGAGCACUGUUAAGGCUAGGGGGUCAUCCCGACUUACCAACCCUUUGCAAACUCCGAAUACCAGUAAGUACUAUCCGGGAGACACACGGCGGGUGCUAACGUCCGUCGUGGAGAGGGAAACAACCCAGACCGCCAGCUAAGGUCCCAAAUUACAGCUAAGUGGGAAACGAUGUGGGAAGGCUUAGACAGCUAGGAUGUUGGCUUAGAAGCAGCCAUCAUUUAAAGAAAGCGUAAUAGCUCACUAGUCGAGUCGGCCUGCGCGGAAGAUGUAACGGGGCUAAGUUGUAAACCGAAGCUGCGGCAAUGUUCUUUGAACAUUGGGUAGGGGAGCGUUCUGUAAGCCGUUGAAGGUGUGUUGUAAAGCAUGCUGGAGGUAUCAGAAGUGCGAAUGCUGACAUGAGUAACGACAAGGGGGGUGAAAAACCUCCCCGCCGGAAGACCAAGGGUUCCUGUCCAACGUUAAUCGGGGCAGGGUAAGUCGACCCCUAAGGCGAGGCCGAAAGGCGUAGUCGAUGGGAAACGGGUUAAUAUUCCCGUACUUCUUACAAUUGCGAUGGGGGGACGGAGAAGGCUAGGUGGGCCUGGCGACGGUUGUCCAGGUUCAAGUGCGUAGGCUGAGUGUUUAGGUAAAUCCGGA
rnacentral:rRNA from 1 species